AUCUGGAUAUUACUCUUCACUUUUAAUUUCUGGUACUUUCAAGCGAGCACAAAAGAUAAUCUACGGAAAAGCAUUACAUGCCUAUCAUAGUAUAUUUAAAAGUUUCUCAAAUGUCGAAAAUGUUCCAAUAAAACUAAUGUUAAAACUAUUUUCUUCGAUAGUUACCCCAAUCUUAUUAUACGAUUGCGAAGUGUGGGGUCCGCAUUUAUUGGACAGAAUAAACUCUUUCGACAUGUUCAAGAAAAAAAAUUUCCAAAUCAAUAGUGCAAUUGAAAAACUUCAUCUAAAAUUCUGCAAAAGAGUCUUAGGAGUUCAUUAAAAAUCAACAAACAUGGCUAUUUAUGCUGAGCUAGGAAGAACGCCUUUGAUCGCCGGUUCAAAUAGCUAAAGCUGGUUGUAAAAUGUUGGUUUCGAAUUAAAAGCCGGUUCAUUGUUCUCAAACACGCUUGUUGGAAAAGCAGCGAAUGUAUGCAUGGAACUUAACCUAAAGUCAACAAUUUUUCUCAAAUAUGCACUGCAACUUAUGUGGGGGAGAAAAUUGCGAUUCACAAACUGAAUUAUCCAACUUGCAGACGGAAUUAUCUGACACAGAAAAAGGAAAUUGUUUGCCAUUACGUGAAACAUAGAUUUAAAGAAGCGUUUAUAUUGUAUUUGGCAGAGCAGUUUCAACCUGUCGAAAAUACUGGCAAGCUAAGAACUUUUAGAAAAAUAAAAUAAAAAAAAAACACUUUGAAUGUGAAAAAUACUUAAACGAAAUUAGUAAUUUCAAAUAUCGUCAAGCUGUCACAAAGUUAAGAAUAUCAGCACAUAAGCUAACUGUUGAAAUUGGUAGAUACAACAAUGUCCCAUACAAUGAUAGACUAUGCAGACUUUGUGAGUUAAAUGAAGUAGGAGAUGAACAUCACUUUUUAAUGUCUUGUACAAACAUGAAGUUCAUCGACCUCAGGACAAAAUUCAUUAUUAUAUACAUGUAUCAAUAGUCAAAGUCGCAUUUUUCUAGUGUUUUAUUGGUUGAGAGCAUAUCACGUGAGAGUGACGAAAUUAGGCUGUCUCCCUCGCAACAGCGCGAGAGGGAGAUACUAGGGAGCUUUAGAUUUGACUACGAGUACGACUACGAGUACGAGUCUUAACGAGAUUUGAUUGCGUGCGAGGAAGUUACCGUAGUCGUUCUCGUUUCCAUUCAAAUGUUACUUUUAUAACAGUAAAUCAACAACGAGAUAAAAAGUUUCAUAAACUAAAUCUCCUGCUGACUAAAAUCCCCUACAAAACGUGUAAAUAAGUCAUAACAUUAAAAACAGGCCAGAUAUUUAGUACUAAUAUAUUAUUUGCGCCGGAUAAACGCUAUAUAAAUGCUACAAAUUAUUUUUGGAAAACAAAAAAAAGCCAACUUUCUUUGUUUUUUUGAAAAGUCGUCGUGAGGAC